rnacentral:snRNA from 1 species
AUCGCUUCUCGGCCUUUUGGCUAAGAUCAAGUGUAGAAUCUUCAGUGUUCCUUGCUAAGAAUUUUUAGGUCAGAAAUUUGUAUACAUAGGAUGGUAUUAGUCAUUAUUUUUCUCUGUAUUAAAACUCAUAUGAAUAUGA